UACGUACGAGGCAAGCGUUAUCCGGAAUUACUGGGCGUAAAGCGCGCGCAGGCGGACGUUAAGUAGGGCGUGAAAUCUCCCGGCCUAACUGGGAGGGUGCGCUAUAGACUGCGGGGCUCGAGUGUGGGGAGAGGUGAGUGGAAUUCCCGGUGUAGCGGUGAAAUGCGUAGAUAGUCGGGAGGAACACCUGUGGCGAAAGCGGCUCACUGGACCACAACUGACGCUGAGGCGCGAAAGCUAGGGGAGCAAACAGG
rnacentral:rRNA from 1 species